rnacentral:rRNA from 1 species
CAAUAGCGUAUAUUAAAGUUGUUGCAGUUAAAAAGCUCGUAGUUGGAUUUCUGGUGGGUGCGAUCGGUCUGGCGCUUAGCGCGAGUACUUGCAUCGUCUCCGGCCAUCCUUGGGGAGAGUCUGUCUGGCAUUAAGUUGUCGGGCAGAGGAUCCUCAUCGUUUACUGUGAAAAAAUUAGAGUGUUCAAAGCAGGCUUAUGCCGUUGAAUAUAUUAGCAUGGAAUAAUAAGAUAGGACUUUGGUACUAUUUUGUUGGUUUGCGCACCAAAGUAAUGAUUAAUAGGGACAGUUGGGGGUAUUCGUAUUCCGUUGUCAGAGGUGAAAUUCUUGGAUUUACGGAAGACGAACUACUGCGAAAGCAUUUACCAAGGAUGUUUUCAUUAA